CAUUGUACCACGAACUAUAAGUGAAGGCAACGUGAAUUCCUAUACCAAAAUAAUUUUGAAUAUUCUAAUUAAAAUACUGCAUAUUUGAUUCCUCUGUUUACUAAUCCUAAACAAGUUGAUUGCAGUGAAUGAAGGUUAGAGUUGAAUGAUUCUGCAAUAAUCAGAACAAGUAUCGAUAUAAUAUAAGUGUCCAGUAUAGCUCCGGUAUUCUGCCAAUAAUUCGGGAACAAGAUACGGUCAAGUA